UCAGGUGGUAACAGCAACGGGGAUCCACCUCUUCCCAUUCCGAACAGAGAAGUUAAGCCCGUUCACGCCUAUGAUACUGCUAUACCAAGUGGGAAAGUGGGUAGCCGCCAACU
rnacentral:rRNA from 1 species